UACGAAGGGGGCUAGCGUUGUUCGGAUUUACUGGGCGUAAAGCGCACGUAGGCGGAUUGUUAAGUCAGGGGUGAAAUCCUGGAGCUCAACUCCAGAACUGCCUUUGAUACUGGCAAUCUUGAGUCCGGAAGAGGUGAGUGGAACUCCUAGUGUAGAGGUGGAAUUCGUAGAUAUUAGGAAGAACACCAGUGGCGAAGGCGGCUCACUGGUCCGGUACUGACGCUGAGGUGCGAAAGCGUGGGGAGCAA
rnacentral:rRNA from 1 species